GGGGAUGUAGCUCAUUGGGAGAGCACAUGACUGAAGAUCAUGGUGUAGUGGGUUCGAUUCCCACCAUCCCCA
rnacentral:tRNA from 2 species